UGGUGGAGCGAUUUGUCUGGUUAAUUCCGAUAACGAACGAGACCAAAAUAUUUAAAUAGGUGGUACAGAUCUCAAAAAACUGAAACUAGGGGUGGGAGUGGCUUGCUGCUCUCUCCCAGAGAGGAUGUCGGGUAUCUAUAACCCUCUUCUUCGAUAGACAACUCGGAAAAACCAAGCGGAGGUUUUGGCAAUAACA
rnacentral:rRNA from 1 species